rnacentral:tRNA from 1 species
GCAUUUGUGGUGUAGUGGUCAGCACGCUCGAUGCGUAACCAAGAGGUCCGUGGUUCGAUUCCCGGCGAAGGCG